UCCGAUUUGUCACCAGCAUGUCAAGCCCAGGUAAGGUUCUUCGCGUUGCUUCGAAUUAAACCACAUGCUCCACCGCUUGUGCGGGCCCCCGUCAAUUCCUUUGAGUUUCAGCCUUGCGGCCGUACUCCCCAGGCGGGGCACUUACUGCGUUAGCGACGGCACCGGGAGGGUCGCUCCCCCCGACGCCUAGUGCCCAUCGUUUACGGCGUGGACUAC
rnacentral:misc_RNA from 1 species